rnacentral:rRNA from 1 species
UAGGGAAUCUUCCACAAUGGACGAAAGUCUGAUGGAGCAACGCCGCGUGAGUGAAGAAGGGUUUCGGCUCGUAAAGCUCUGUUGUUAAAGAAGAACGUGGGUAAGAGUAACUGUUUACCCAGUGACGGUAUUUAACCAGAAAGCCACGGCUAACUGCGUGCCA